UGCCCAGUAACUGCAAGAGCGUGAGGAAAUCGUCGCAUGUUUUUGUUUUGGGACCGUAACAAAGCGAUUUAUGGUCGUCGGGAGAAGUCUAAUCUGAACAUGUCUAAACAGUCCGUCGCGACCGCUACCAAUGGAGCCGUCAAAGGUAGCGGUAGUGGUAGUGGAAGUCAAAUCUGAACCUGUCUAACAACUUGUGACGUGCAGACGAUAUCAGACUUGUUGGAACAACUUGUUGCGAGUCUGUUGGUCUCAUCAACCUUGUUCCAAGAUGAUAUAAACAACUUGUUCCAGACUUGUCAACAACUGGGAACAAGCAGUGCGAACACAUCUUGUUGAUAAGCUGUGAGAUUUUUAGACGUGUUCAUGAUAGUCAUCUAUAUUUAUGGAGUUUUUUCUUACAGUACGAUAUGGCAUCUGUAAUAGAAGAACAAGUGCAAAAGCAACUGAACAGCAGCCCUGAUCGAGAACGAAGCAAGAAAAAAUCAUCAAGACUGCCGUUCAUGAAGAAAGGAUGGGGAUGGUAGAAACCCCCUGUGUCCUACAAGAACCCCUCUUGUCACACGUCCUACCCCUUCAUACUAUAUUGAGUCCCCAGUGAGAGACACCAUGAGUCCACCUAUUGGAUUAGGAUUAUAAGUUUAGGGAUAGGAUGAGUUAGGGAUAGGUAUUCACCUUGUGUAUUGCUUUGUCCCUAUGUGCCAUAUUCUACCCCAGCAACGUGUAUAAAUUACGUUCGUUUAUAAUUUAUAUGCGCCAGAUUAGUUAUUGCAAAAUGUAGUUUUAUAAAUUUUUUUAAAAAGGAACUAGUGAAGAUAAUAUAUAGUUUCUUUAUUUAUGAAUAAUUUAUGUUAAAUAUAUUGUGUACAGUCACAAGUUGUCACAGGAUUAUUGUAGAAAAAAUACAAAAAAUUUUAAAAUAUGAAAUUAUUAAAAAAGAGGUGUAUGCUUUAAAGAUUGCUUCACUUAAUAAUAUACUUGUAAAUUGACAUGAUCUUUAGGAAAAGCCGGACUCAGUUGUUUCAAAAUAUUAGUUGUGAACUAUUUAAUAUAUUGUAUUAUAUUAAUACGAGUAAUUUCCACUAUGUAGGAGUGAAACUGUUAAUAAACGAUAAAUGUAUUUCAUCUCUUGUUCUUGCAUGACAUUUAGCAUAAAAAUAGUGGCAGAAAGUCAAGGCAUUUUUAGUACAUUCGCCCCACUGGGCCCCUUCCUCUGCCCCACCACUGCAUGAAGAAGAAAAAUGGUCUAUUGCCACAAAGCCAG